AUUGAACGCUGGCGGCAUGCUUUACACAUGCAAGUCGAACGGCAGCGCGGGCUUCGGCCUGGCGGCGAGUGGCGAACGGGUGAGUAAUACAUCGGAACGUGCCCAGUAGUGGGGGAUAGCUCGGCGAAAGCCGGAUUAAUACCGCAUACGACCUGAGGGUGAAAGCGGGGGAUCUUCGGACCUCGCGCUAUUGGAGCGGCCGAUGGCAGAUUAGCUAGUUGGUGGGGUAAAGGCCUACCAAGGCGACGAUCUGUAGCUGGUCUGAGAGGACGACCAGCCACACUGGGACUGAGACACGGCCCAGACUCCUACGGGAGGCAGCAGUGGGGAAUUUUGGACAAUGGGCGAAAGCCUGAUCCAGCAAUGCCGCGUGUGUGAUGAAGGCCUUCGGGUUGUAAAGCACUUUUGGCGGGAACGAAAAGGACUGUGCCAAUACCACGGUUCGAUGACGGUACCCGCAGAAUAAGCACCGGCUAACUACAUG
rnacentral:rRNA from 1 species